UACGGGGGGGGCAAGCGUUGUUCGGAAUUACUGGGCGUAAAGGGCUCGUAGGCGGCCAACUAAGUCAUACGUGAAAUCCCUCGGCUUAACCGGGGAACUGCGUCUGAUACUGGAUGGCUUGAGUUCGGGAGAGGGAUGCGGAAUUCCAGGUGUAGCGGUGAAAUGCGUAGAUAUCUGGAGGAACACCGGUGGCGAAGGCGGCAUCCUGGACCGAUACUGACGCUGAGGAGCGAAAGCGUGGGGAGCGAAACAGG
rnacentral:rRNA from 1 species